AUCUCUGUGUUGUGUUGGGUUUUAUUGGAUUGGCGUACAUGACUGACGUGCCAUUAAUUACUCGCUUUGUUUUGCAAUUUCUUGAUUUUAAUUUUACUCUUCAUUUGGACCCUUCCCGUUUGAUAAUGCGACAACCGUCGAGAUAGGCGUAAUCUUCCUAUGAUGAAGGUUUUUCCUUUUGUUGAUAUUCAAUAUCGAAUAUAACAAACCCAACACCGACAUUCAUGGCAUAAAUAACGAUCAAAUACGCAUGUUUGAAAGAAUCUUAAUAAUUGGGAGAACAUAUCAAUAAUUGAUAUAGCUCAGGAGGAUCAUACGAUAUAAACCUUUCAACCUGAUAGCAUUCGGCUACAUUAAAACCUUUCAACCUGAUAGCAUUCGGCUACAUUAAAACCUUUCAACCUGAUAGCAUUUGGCUACAUUAAAACUAUGCAUAUUUUAAUGACCAAAAUGAUAUAAACCUUGCAAUUAUAUCCAACCUCGGGAAAAUCUGAAUUUCUUGCUUAAGUUGUGGUACUAAAAUUACAAACUCUUCAAAAGUAUUAUAUGAUUCCAUUGCUAUUAAAUGUUUUAGAAGUAAUGAGAUUGGGGUGGGUGUGUUCUCUGGUGGUCUUUGUAUAUCCUUCCCUCUUAAUUAAACAUGUUAUUGGUACUAUCUAGAGAAGAAAUAGGCUUAAUUUUUUAUGCUUAGCUUUUUCUUUGGUUUACAAGAAGAAUUUUCAUAAGGUCAACUCAUAUGAUGUAUGGAAGAUGGUAUCAGUGUAAAGAUCAGGAAGUGCUAGAAAUCAGUCUAGUAAUGUUAUAUAUUGGAGCAAAUAUUCGAGAUCGUAUGUAUUGUUUAUAAAGCGUGAAACGGAUUGAAGAGCAAGCGCUCAAGUGCAACUUAGGGAAAAGAAGAUACGAUGGCUCCAACAAGGUUAAGCACACAGUGAAACAAAUAUGAACACCUAUAUACAUGGUAUUCAAACUAAUAUGAAGCUUUGGCCUGAGAGAAUAACAAUGAACUCUUUAAGACAAUCAAAAACAAGUUUUUAAGUAUCAUAGGAUUUUCAAUAACUAAAAAUCCAUUAAGUCACGAAACUACAAAACGAUGUUGCAAACCUACAAGUUAAAACUUAUUACCACUAAUUAGGUCAUUAUCUCAAUUUUCCUCAUCAUUAAACUUCUUCCUCUUUAGCAUAGUUUCUAUUUUUUUUUUUUUUUUUUGGACAAGAUAUGUAUAGAGAAGCAUAUUUCCAUGUUUCUCCCCAAGUAUUGGAAGGGGGGAGAGAGCUUUGAGUGAGAAGGUUAAAUAAAGGACAUGAACAAACAGUUUCUUGUUCAACUUUUUCUUCUUUUUAUUAUGCUAUUUGCAGCAUUAGUUCAUUAAUAAACAUUGCCCUUAUGCAUCAUGUAAGAGACCACAAGGAUGGGUCAAUUCUUCUCUUUAUUUAGUUGUUGCCAAUUCUACUAGUUGAUGGAUAAUGAUGAGAAGAAUUUUAAGAUUCAAAAAGUACCAAAUUUAUUAGGAGUUCAUUUGUGCAAGUGUUUUUAAUUUGGAACACUUAAGUAGAUAAGCUACUCCUGUUUGGUAAUGUUUUCUGGGCAUGCUAUGCAUUCAAGCUUGAUAUUUAUGCAAAUAGCCUUUCCUCUUAAUAUCAUUCAUUGAACAGCACUUUGACCUUGACCUACUGGCUAAAAAUAUAAACAAAAUCUCCAUUGUUUUGAUGAUUCCAGGAUGAGACAUUAGUGAAAUUCUGGAAUCUGCAUCCCUUUAACAAAAUAUAAUAUAAGAAAGAUUCAAGGAUGACACCUACGAUUACUCGUGUUUUUCAAUUUUGAGAGAUUUUAAACUUUGAAGACAAAAAUACCAUGAGGAAGCACUAAAGAAGACAUCUUAUAUUUCAUUAAAAAAUAAAAAAUAAAAAAAUUAGAAGAAGAAGAAGAAGAAGAAGAAGAACAAAUCUUAAGGGCUAGGGGUAGAGACAACCCUUCCCCCAAACAAAAGAACUGAUGCCAAUUUCUAAUAAUUUAAGGAAGGCUAUCGGUACCACCAAAAUCUUUGUGGUUUGAACUCUUCCAAGAAGUCAAGUGUUAUAUACUAUAGAUAAAGGAAUCUCCCAAGCUCCUCCUACCUUCAAAUAGUCUAUAAGAUUUUGUUCCUUUCAUGUCGUCCAUAUUGUAGAUUUAACAGUGCAGCCCUAUAGGAUAUUUGUUUGUUUCCCUAAAACAAGUUCCCAUCAAAGCCUCGAGCAACACUUUUCCAACCUUUUUGAGGAGGCAUAUUGAGAGACCAAAGUAUGUAGUACCUCUUUAAUUUAUUAAUAAUGAGUAUUUUAUUUGGUUUGUGUGUGGUGACAAUUUUUUUGAUCAAUAGAUAAUACUCCAGUAGGUUGUGUUGAAAAUAUCAUGUGAUGCUUGUUUAGGGACCAUGUUGGGAAAAGAGUAUGAUUGUACCUGUCUCUUUGGGCUAAAUUUUUUCUCAAUGUUCUCAUCUUUUUGAUAUUGAUUAAAAAAGAGUACUGUUUGCAUUUUGGAUCGGUGACAUUUCUAGUCUACCCUCUUGGUAAGUACCUUCUCUUGAGUUUCCCAAUAAAGUAGAAAAAGGAAGACUGUUUAUGAGAGAUUGUAAUCUUUAUUCUUUUCAACUUUCAUAUUUCUUUUGGAAAGCCACACUUGUUUUUGCGAAAUUUUCUUGUGUAAAGACUACUGAUAUAUAUGUAUGUUAUUCUGUACAUAUGUUGACGGAUUAUUCAUGAUUAAUAAACUUGCUUUGAUUUACAAGUUAUAUUACAUUAUAAAUUGGGAGUGUGACUAUUUCCCUUUGGGAUUGCUAAGCCAUUGGUGAAGUUUACCAUGCUUAUACAAUCUUUUUCUAAUUGUAUUUUCCUUGGGCUUCUAACCAUUGUGACUUUUGCUGCUUGUAUCCUUUAUAUUUACGUAUGAUUUAACAGCCAUAUUAAGCCUAGCGAUUGUAAGGAAAACUUGUUAACUCAGAUCUUUGGUCAGGCUGUGCCUGUCCUUUUUCUAAAACAUCAGCAUCCUGUGGUUUCCACGUCUUUUGAUAAAAAUGUAGGAUGUAUGGUAGUUUCAUUAGGUUAGUCAAUAUGUGAAAACAUGUGUUUGAAUACGCUAUUAGACAAAACUUCUUUAGGUCUGUUGGGAUGCAAUACUGUUUUUAUUUUUUAAGAAGUUUUGAUGUUGAAUAGAUGUUGGGUAGUUUCUAAUGAAUCUUUCUUGUCUGUAUACCUUGUCUAAAGGAAUACAUUUUUUUAAAAUAAGAAAAAUGAUUAUAAAUAAUUAUUUUUAUUAUUAAGUUCAAUCAAUCACUCAGGAUGGACUGUGUGGUAUCUGGCUGUCUUAACUGAUGCUGAAAUUAUUACUGCCAAAUUGUUUGUCUAAUUGUACUUUGGCCACUGAUAAUGUUUACCUUCAAUUUGAGUAUGAACAACGUAUUGCUGUCAUCAAGCAUAUUGGAUAGGCUUUUCUGAGGAUAAUUGCUGUAUACUAUGCCUUAUACAAAAAAAAAAAAAAAAAAAAAAAAAAAAAAAAAAAAAAAAA